rnacentral:rRNA from 1 species
UAGGGAAUCUUCGGCAAUGGACGGAAGUCUGACCGAGCAACGCCGCGUGAGUGAAGAAGGUUUUCGGAUCGUAAAGCUCUGUUGUUAGAGAAGAACGUUGGUAGGAGUGGAAAAUCUACCAAGUGACGGUAACUAACCAGAAAGGGACGGCUAACUACGUGCCAGCAGCCGCGGUAAUACGUAGGUCCCGAGCGUUGUCCGGAUUUAUUGGGCGUAAAGCGAGCGCAGGCGGUUCUUUAAGUCUGAAGUUAAAGGCAGUGGCUUAACCAUUGUAAGCUUUGGAAACUGGAGGACUUGAGAGCAGAAGGGGAGAGUGGAAUUCCAUGUGUAGCGGUAAAAUGCGUAGAUAUAUGGAGGAACACCGGUGACGAAAGCGGCUCUCUGGUCUGUAACUGACGAUGAGGCUCGAAAGCGUGAGGAGCAAACAGG